rnacentral:rRNA from 1 species
GUCCACGCCGUAAACGAUGGAUACUAGCUGUUGGGGCGAACCUCAGUGGCUAAGCGAAAGUGAUAAGUAUCCCACCUGGGGAGGUACGUUCGCAAGAAUGAAACUCAAAGGAAUUGACGGGGCCCGCACAAGCGGUGGAGCAUGUGGUUUAAUUCGAUGAUACGCGAGGAACCUUACCAAGGCUUAAAUGUAGUUUGACCGAUUUGGAAACAGAUCUUUCGCAAGACAAAUUACAAGGUGCUGCAUGGUUGUCGU